rnacentral:lncRNA from 1 species
UAAUCUUUUGAUUUUCUAUAUUAUUUUGAAGAAGUAAACGAGUACAGAGUACUGAGAUUUCGCGGAUAUACGGAUUCCAAUCAUCAUAAUUUGCUUGAGAAAUAAUUAAAGCAACACCAUUGAAAUGGCGGACCAAGUCAGGUGCAGUACUAAAUUUGGAACAAAUAAAAGCGAUAAAUCUAACGCAUUCUCGCUUUACACCUACAACAGCAUUGUAGAGUUCUUGUAACUCCAUAGAGGAAGCAUAUGUUUUUUCAACAAGGGUCUUUUUGGGAAUUCUUUUGUCAAGUACGGCAAGCAAAUGAAUUAUUUCGCUGAUCGAAGAAGACGGUUGACUCGUUUCAAAUUCCAUAUCACCCAGCGAACUUGAAUCAUCGUUCUUUAAAGAUAUAGUUGUAUCAUAAGAAACAUAGUCUCUGUACAAUAAAUCGACACCUAACAUAACAAUUUCAGAGAAAUGAUUAAUAUGGUCAAGCCCGGCAGACGAGAUUUCUUUGGUAAAACAUUCUUCUAACACAGACGCGAAUUGGCGUCCAACACAAGAGAGUACAUCUAAAAUAACAUAAAAUCCUGUAGCGGUUUCUUUUAGCUUAAUUUUAUGACUCAUGCAGUCGAUCAAGAAAUAAAUAGAUUUAGGCCCAAUUUUAGAAGCAACAUUUACUAGAACAUUAGGGAAGUUGGACUUUAGAAUUCUUUCAGCAAUAUUGAACAUUACAUCUUCCCGAAGCCAGUCCGGAUGUGAGUCAAAAUCGAAAAUGAUACUCAGCAAUCGUAUACCAGAUUUCGAAUGACAAAGUUCGAAAAGUCGCUGAUCAUCCACUCUUAUGAGCGACCAUAGAGCUAUUUCAAGCGCAGUGCACUGAGCAGGAUUCAUGGGAACAGGAAGGAAAAAAUCCUCAUUAUCCAUUAAAAAAGCCCAUGCUUCAUUUUGCAGAGGCGAAUUGCCAGCAACAGAAUUUGCAAAAAUUUGCCAUGGCAAUGAGGAAAAACUAUCAUUUGAAACCGACUCAGUGAAGUGAUAAGGUAAAAACCGACUAUAAAGACCGGCAUCUCCAGCAGCUUUUUGAGACUUAAACCCCUUUGCAAGGCCGUUUCUUAUAAGCUUCAUCGUCAGCUCAUCACCGUUGCUGGAUGAUGAUAAUAGUGCUUCCCAUUCUUCAGUUGAUUCCAUUUUCUCCAUAUCUACCUAUUUUGAACUCAGUUUUAAACCAAUAGCUGUUUUCAUUAGACGAUAACACACAGAAGCAAUGAAGGCUUAAGGUAAAUAAAAAAUAGUUCUUUUUUUUUUAAUGGAUAAGCCUUCCCAAAUUAUUUGAAGGUACGAAUUGUUGAUAGAGUAACUUAUGAGUAUUUAAAACAAGAGCUGUUUCCAUACAGAAAUGUCUGUAAGUAAAUAGACUCAUAUGUACAUAGUAUGUGUCGCAAUAUGGUUGGAAUCAUAAGCGAAUACUAUAAAAACAGACUUUUUAAAAACGACAAUCUUUUUCAGUCAUAAUUAGACUGGAACAAAAACGAAUUACUUAGUCUGCUGUAUUCUUACUGCUACGUAGGAUAAGAAAAUUGACUUAAGUUGUCAAUUUACAUUAUAACCUUCAGCACUAAUUAAAGCUCUUAAUCUCUAAUAAUACUUAUAACAAGUCAAAUAUUUCCGUCGAGUUGUUAAGUAUUACUGUAAAAAUUAUCAUAUUCACUAUAAUGACCAAAGAUUGAAGUUUCGCUCAGGAUUUAACAGCUAGUAAAUUUAAAAAAUAUUAGUGAAACUAAAAAUAAAUGUAUGCAAACAUAACAUAUUAUUUAAUUGUUAUCAACAACAAAACUAACAAAAUUUCUUGGUAUGAUGACAAAGGAAUAUUUAAAAUACAAUGGAAUGACGAUGUAGGAGUUAGGAAAGGAUUGAAGGGUAAAAGAGACGGAAAUUAGGAAAGCAAUAGAUGGAAUUCAAAAGGGAAAUGAAUCAGUAAUAGUAAGGGUCAAGAAACACUAGAAAUGAAACCUGGAGUAGAAAGGUGAUUAAACUUACAGGGAAAGAAAUAAAUUAAAGUGAUAAAAACAUCCAGCCAAAUUUUGAUGGUCAUUUACUUUUUCUUCAAAGUCGAAAUCGAAUCGUCAUCAGAUUUAGUGACUCCUUCAAGAACAUUGAUUUCUGAGACAGCAUCGUCAACGCCAAUUGUAAGACGUGGUCCUUUAAACCACUUACGAGCAGAUACAAACCACCAAAUAAGGACCAUAAGCAUGGGUCCUCCAAAUACAACACAAGUCCAAUUCAUCGCAUCAGGAGUAUUAUCUUUACCUCUAAAUUGUGGGAAGCAGAGAAUAGGGACCAUUAACAAAACAAAAGCACAAGCAGCAUAACCAUUGAUUUUAGAGAAUUUUCCCAAAUGCCAAGGACCACGUUUAAAUUCGUCUUCUUUGACGAAAAACACACGGAGGAAAAUGGGGGUAGUGAACGCAACAAAAGCAGCGAUGGCGCCGACUGAAAAAAUAGCAUUGAUAGCUGCCUCACCAGCAAAAAUAAGUAAGCAGCAUAGUAUUCCUACUACAACAUUCAUCCAAACACAAACAUUGGGAGUUUUGGUGCGCUUGUCAACAAUGGCAAGAUAUUUGGAAAAGGGAAAUACGCCGUCUCUAGCGUAUGAAUAUGUAACACGAGAUGCUGCAACCAUACAUCCCUGGCCCAUCAUAAAACUGCAGAUAACUGUAAGAGAUGUGAGAGCUACAGUGGUUUUGUAGUUGCAAACUUGUCUUAAGUAGACGACGAAUGGCUGGCCUAAAUCAUCAUUCAUAGCUGCAUUAACAUCAACAAUGGUGUAUGCAAUGCAAAGGUUCAACAACCAUCCGACAAUACCUCCAAAAGCAGAAGUCAUUACUAUGGCACGGGGAGCAGCCACACUUGCAUUGGAACAUUCUUCACUUAAAUGAAAAGGUGAGUCAUAACCAGACAUGGUCCAAAUUACACCAGCAAAUGACAUCAACAUAGCCAUACCGUUGCUCCAAUCCGUUUGGUUAUCAAACUCAUUCCAGACUUUGUGAUUACUGUUAAAGCCACGAGGAGUUUUUGUGCCAGCAACGGCAAGAACAGUGAUCAUUACAAUAGCCAAGAAUAACAUAUUUAAAACGGUUCCCCAAGUGUUAAAGACGGCCAAUACUUUAGUUGGCAUGGAAGAGAUAAACCCCUGAGCAAUCAUGGCAGCUACGGCAAGUAAAAAAAUUUGAUAAUUUUGCGUUUCAAAAUUAGGAUUGUGAAGUUGAACAAGAGUUAGGAUCAUUCCCGCAAAUGAGUAGGCUACACUUGGAGGUCCUGUAACUUGAACCAAGUAAUUUGACCAUCCAGUGAGCCAAGCGGCAAAUGGACCCCAACCUUUAGGGGCCAAUACGGCUGCAGCGUAGUACAGACCACCAGAAGUAGGCAUUGAGGAACAUAGUUCAGCCAUACCGUUAGCGACACACUGAACGAAUACCAUGGCAAUCAACCAUCCCCAUACCAUCGCAGGCGUACCUGCAUAACCAGUAGUGUAAUACAUCGUAGAGGCGAAAGAAGGAAGCAAACCAAGAACAGAGAAGGAAACACAGAAAGAGGUCCACGCGGAAAAUUCACGUUUGAACUCUUGUUUAUAACCCAGUGCGGCUAAAUCGGCCUCGUCUGAUGCGAGAGCUUCAACAUCCUCAUGUUGAGAAGGUGCCGUAUUUGAAGAUUUUUUGAAAAUAGACAUUGGAGAAGAAUUAACAAGAAAAAGCUAACCAAAUUUGGCAAUUCUCAAAAUUAAUAUAUAGUGGAA